rnacentral:rRNA from 1 species
UACAGAGGGUGCGAGCGUUGUCCGGAAUCACUGGGCGUAAAGGGCGCGUAGGUGGCGACCCAAGUCGAUGGUGAAAGCUCGCCGCUCAACGGCGAGUCGGCCACCGAUACUGAGUUGCUGGAGCACUGUAGAGGCAGAUGGAAUUCCGGGUGUAGCGGUGGAAUGCGUAGAGAUCCGGAAGAACACCGGUGGCGAAGGCGGCACUCUGGGACGGUACUGACGCUGAGACGCGAAAGCGUGGGGAGCGAACAGG